rnacentral:rRNA from 1 species
UACGGAGGGUGCAAGCGUUACUCGGAAUCACUGGGCGUAAAGGAUGCGUAGGCUGGAUGUCAAGUUGGAAGUGAAAUCCUAUGGCUUAACCAUAGAACUGCUUCCAAAACUGGCAACCUAGAGUGAGGGAGAGGCAGAUGGAAUUAGUGGUGUAGGGGUAAAAUCCGUAAAUAUCACUAGGAAUACCGAUUGCGAAGGCGAUCUGCUAGAACUCUACUGACGCUAAGGCAUGAAAGCGUGGGGAGCAAACAGGAUUAGAUACCCUGGUAGUCCACGCCCUAAACGAUGUACACUAGUUGUUGGGAUGCUAGUCAUCUCAGUAAUGCAGUUAACACAUUAAGUGUACCGCCUGGGGAGUACGGUCGCAAGAUUAAAACUCAAAGGAAUAGACGGGGACCCGCACAAGCGGUGGAGCAUGUGGUUUAAUUCGAAGAUACACGAAGAACCUUACCUAGCCUUGAUAUCCUUGGAAUCUCUCAGAGAUGAGAGAGUGCUAGUUUACUAGAACCAAGUGACAGGUGCUGCACGGCUGUCGUCAGCUCGUGUCGUGAGAUGUUGGGUUAAGUCCCGCAACGAGCGCAACCCUCGUCCUUAGUUGCUAACAGUUCGGCUGAACACUCUAA